rnacentral:rRNA from 1 species
UACAGAGGUCUCAAGCGUUGUUCGGAUUCAUUGGGCGUAAAGGGCGCGUAGGCUGCGGGGCAAGUCGGGGGUGAAAUCUCAGAGCUCAACUCUGAAACUGCACUCGAUACUGCUUUGCUCGAGGACUGGAGAGGAGAUUGGAAUUCACGGUGUAGCAGUGAAAUGCGUAGAUAUCGUGAGGAAGACCAGUGGCGAAGGCGGAUCUCUGGACAGUUCCUGACGCUGAGGCGCGAAGGCCAGGGGAGCAAACGGG